ACAUCAGUGAGGUUUAUUUCCACCUGUUUUCUUAGAAUUAAGAGCACAGACUGUGAUGAUUGGAUUCUAUGAAUAUGUGCUUAUAUCCCGUAUUCAUUUAAGAUUUGUAUCUCCUUUAUGAAUUCCUUCUGAG